AUGAAGAAUAUAUCACUGAGAUUAAUGGCCCUGGGUUGCAGCCAAAAGCAUCUCAGAGGUAGAACACUGUUGCAGAUGGUGAUGUUACCAUUUGAAAGUAAGAAGAAAACUAGUAUCUCUUGGGUCACCAAGAGUAAAAAUAGAGAAGAUGCUUACAAACUGCAACACAUAGAGUUUCUUGAAAUCACAGUUUGGGAGUGGAGGAAAAGGCUGCUUAAGUGUUUGGAAAGGGAGACUAAGGAUGAAAUAGAGUGGGGGUAUGAUGCAUUUCCUGACUGUGGUCGGCUUUCCAUGGGUGAAACAGAAAAGUCUUCAAAUAUCCUCACCAACUGCUUUCCUAGAUUUUUCAGCCAGUUACUUGACCAUAUUAGGAAAAGAAAGGCAGAGCUUCGAAGCUGUGUGUCAGUCUCCUCUCCCCUCAUCCUUUCUCAGCCUGGAUCUCCAAAUGACAAGUUCUGAAACAGAGGCCCCAAAAACCCAUAACUGGCAUUCAGAGUGAGUGAGAAGGGAACCUUUCUGGUUAUAAACUGCUAACAUCAUGGAGUUAACUGAUAC
ensembl:lincRNA